rfam:Lachnospiraceae bacterium 28-4 genomic scaffold acPFn-supercont1.2, whole genome shotgun sequence.
UUGCAUACAAUCAGUAAUUUCACUUAUGAAAUGGUCGAUAAUCAGAGUGAAAUCGCCAGGACGGCGGUUUCAGGAAGCAUAAGGCAUGGAUGCCGUUGCUUCCGACUCGUUCGGUUUUAUCAUGUUACCCAUUUCAUUAGUGAAAUCUGAUUGGAAGCUC